ACUCCUGAACCCUGACCCAAGGCCUGUGUUACUCCCCAGCAGCAGCCCAGCCCUUCUCCCCAGUCAUCCAAGUGGGCACCUCUCUGAAAAUCCUUGGAAAGGGGAUCCAGGACAUGAGGGGACCCUGUCCCAUGGGGUCCCCUGCUCUCCAACACACAGGUAGUCCCAGUGCUAGCAUUGGUCUAGGUAAGGGUCACCUCUGCCUUU
rnacentral:lncRNA from 1 species